GUAACUAACGGCAACCCACGAAAGACGCCAUACUUAUUCCAUCAUUUUCUCCCAUCGUUAACCCUCUAUGACAUCAAUUAAUUUUGGAUCUCAGAUUCUAGGGGAUACUAAUUUAUUUUUUAGCUUGCAUAAACAAAUUGAGUACCAAAUUUUUUUUUCAAAAUCUUGAAGUUAAGGGAAUCAAUUUUUCAGAAAAGAAAAAACUAAUAAAAUUUUGCAAAAUUAAGGCACAGGGGAAAGAUUUGAUUUUUAAAAACCCUGAAAAUACGUUGUUACGAAUUCGUAACGCUAUGCCACAGAGGGUUAAUAGGAACCGCACCCAUUUCAAGCGAUAGUAUCUCUCCAUACUCCCUAUGUCCUCUUUAUCUAUAGCUUUGUCUAUCAAUUUCACUAAUCAGCUCGCUGCUGGUGGAUUUCCAAAAAAAUAGGUUUAAUAUUCUUUCCUCUCUCGGAUCAUUGAUCAAAGAGCCGCUUGAAUUCAUUACAGGCGCAGUGUCAUCGUUCGUAACGGGCAUGAUGCCUUCUGCCGAAUGCCGAUCGGCGCGCGACUGUCGGACCGCCUAAACAAUCCCAUUGUCCUGCAACGAGGCUCGAGGAAAACGCUCAGAAGUCUGGAGGCAGGUCAUAAGUUGAGCUUGUUGAAAAGCACGGUGGGGCGCAUGCGGACCCUUACCUCAACCCCACUCCGUCUUCUAGCCCCCCCCCCCCCCCCGGGUCUCUCUUUCAUCCGCCAAAGGUAAAUGUCACCGGCUGUUGCAAAGCCGAAAGGCAAGUGCCGACAGGCGGAGAACACGGAAGGGCGAGGGCGGAGGGAAAAGGGGGAGGCGGGGUUUCGGUCUGACUUGGCUAAAUGAUUCCAUCAGUCCUGUCAUACACGCUAAGCAUCCUCUUUGCUCGCGGUUUCUUCUUCCGUGCCCGAUGGGGCGCGUCUUCUUGUUCGACUUGUUUCCAACCCGCGGAUCACGAUAACUCCCAACGGUGCGACUUUACGAAUCAACGAGGGACUCGACUUUGUGCGCAUUUGUGGAGGACGGACCAGUGUGGAGUGCCGGAUGACUUAUUUUACUGA
rnacentral:lncRNA from 1 species